rnacentral:rRNA from 1 species
ACUGACGAGCACGCCGCGUGAGUGAGAGGUUUUCGGAUCGUAAAGCUCUGUUGUUAAGGAAGAACGAGUGUGAGAAUGGAAAGUUCAUACUGUGACGGUACUUAACCAGAAAGGGACGGCUAACUACGUGCCAGCAGCCGCGGUAAUACGUAGGUCCCGAGCGUUGUCCGGAUUUAUUGGGCGUAAAGCGAGCGCAGGCGGUUAGAUAAGUCUGAAGUUAAAGGCAGUGGCUCAACCAUUGUAGGCUUUGGAAACUGUUUAACUUGAGUGCAGAAGGGGAGAGUGGAAUUCCAUGUGUAGCGGUGAAAUGCGUAGAUAUAUGGAGGAACACCGGUGGCGAAAGCGGCUCUCUGGUCUGUAACUGACGCUGAGGCUCGAAAGCGUGGGGAGCGAACA